rnacentral:rRNA from 1 species
GCUCAGAUUGAACGCUGGCGGCAUGGCUAAAACAUGCAAGUCGAACGCGAAAGGGGCUUCGGCCCUGAUUAGAGUGGCGAACGGGCGAGGAAUGCGUUCCUUACGUACCCCCUGGUCGGGGAUAGCCCGGGGAAACCCGGAGUAAUACCCGAUGACCCCGGCGCGCCGCAUGGUCGGCCGGUCAAAGGCUUGCCGCCUCGGGAGCGGGGAACGUCUUAUCAGGUUGUUGGUGAGGUAACGGCUCACCAAGCCGAAGACGGGUAGCGGGUGUGAGAGCAUGACCCGCCGCAUCGGGACUGAGAAACUGCCCGGACUCCUACGGGAGGCUGCAGUAACGAAUCUUCCGCAAUGCGCGAAAGCGUGACGGAGCAAUGCCGCGUGCAGGAUGAAGCCCCUCGGGGUGUAAACUGCUGUCAGGGUUCAGGAAUUUUGACCAGACCCAAAGGAAGGGCCGGCUAACUUCGUGCCAGCAGCCGCGGUAACACGAAGGGCCCAAGCGUUGCGCAGAUUCACUGGGCUUAAAGGGUGCGUAGGCGGACCUGCAAGUGCUUUGUGAAAUCCCACGGCUCAACCGUGGAAUGGCUUGGCAGACUGCAGGUCUUGAGGUCGGUAGGGGUCACCGGAACGCUAGGUGGAGCGGUGAAAUGCGUAGAUAUCUAGCGGAACGCCGAAGGUGAAGACAGGUGACUGGGCCGAUUCUGACGCUGAGGCACGAAAGCGUGGGGAGCAAACGGGAUUAGAUACCCCGGUAGUCCACGCCCUAAACGAUGUGCACUAGAUCCCGGGAGUUCUGACACUUUCGGGGUUGCAGCUAAAGCAUUAAGUGCACCGCCUGGGGAGUACGGUCGCAAGGCUAAAACUCAAAGGAAUUGACGGGGGCUCACACAAGCGGUGGAGCAUGUGGCUUAAUUCGAAGCAACGCGAAGAACCUUAUCCUGGGUUGAACUACGACGGAUUAGCUGCUGGAAACAGUAGUGACGCGCUUGCGUGGAACGUCGAUAGGUGCUGCAUGGCUGUCGUCAGCUCGUGCUGUGAAGUGUCGCGUUAAGUCGCUUAACGAGCGAAACCCCUAUCGCUAGUUGCCAACGGGUCAUGCCGGGGACUCUAGCGAGACUGCCGGCGUUAAGCCGGAGGAAGGUGGGGACGACGUCAAGUCCUCAUGGCCUUUAUGCCCAGGGCUGCACACGUGCUACAAUGCCGACUACAGAGCGACGCGAUACCGCAAGGUGGAGCAAAUCGCAAAAAAGUCGGCCCAGUUCGGAUUGUGGUCUGCAACUCGACCACAUGAAGUUGGAAUCGCUAGUAAUCGCGUAUCAGCUACGACGCGGUGAAUACGUUCCUGGAGCACUUGUACACACCGCCCGUCAAGUCAUGGAAGCCGGGAGCACCCGAAGUCGCACCAACUCAGGUGUGCCGACGGUGAGCUCGGUGACUGGGACUAAGUC